UACGAAGGGUGCAAGCGUUACUCGGAAUUACUGGGCGUAAAGGGUGCGUAGGUGGUUGUUUAAGUCUGUUGUGAAAGCCCCGGGCUCAACCUGGGAAUGGCAAUGGAUACUGGACAGCUAGAGUGCGGUAGAGGGUAGUGGAAUUCCCGGUGUAGCAGUGAAAUGCGUAGAGAUCGGGAGGAACACCAGUGGCGAAGGCGGCUACCUGGACCAGCACUGACACUGAAGCACGAAAGCUAGGGGAGCAAACAGG
rnacentral:rRNA from 1 species